rnacentral:rRNA from 1 species
UACGGAGGGUGCAAGCGUUAUCCGGAUUCACUGGGUUUAAAGGGUGCGUAGGAGGGCAGGUAAGUCAGUGGUGAAAUCUCCGAGCUUAACUCGGAAACUGCCGUUGAUACUAUCUGUCUUGAAUACCGUGGAGGUGAGCGGAAUAUGUCAUGUAGCGGUGAAGUGCUUAGAUAUGACAUAGAACACCAAUUGCGAAGGCAGCUCACUACACGAGCAUUGACUCUGAGGCACGAAAGCGUGGGGAUCAAACAGG